rnacentral:rRNA from 1 species
UACAGAGGGGGCAAGCGUUGUUCGGAAUUACUGGGCGUAAAGGGCGCGUAGGCGGCCCACUAAGUCGAACGUGAAAUCCCUGGGCUCAACCCAGGAACUGCGUCCGAUACUGGCAGGCUUGAAUUCGGGAGAGGGAUGCGGAAUUCCAGGUGUAGCGGUGAAAUGCGUAGAUAUCUGGAGGAACACCGGUGGCGAAGGCGGCAUCCUGGACCGAGAUUGACGCUGAGGCGCGAAAGCGUGGGGAGCAAACAGG